rnacentral:rRNA from 1 species
AUUGAACGCUGGCGGCAGGCUUAACACAUGCAAGUCGAACGAGUGGCGGACGGGUGAGUAAUGUCUGGGAAACUGCCUGAUGGAGGGGGAUAACUACUGGACAAGGUGGCUAAUACCGCCUACCAUCGGAUGUGCCCAAAUGGGAUUAGCUAGUAGGUGGGGUAAAGGCUCACCUAGGCGACGAUCCCUAGCGGGUGUGAGAGGAUGAACAGCCACACUGGAACUGAGACACGGUCCAGACUCCUACGGGAGGCAGCAGUGGGGAAUAUUGCACAAGGGGCGAAAGCCUGAUGCAGCCAUGCCGCGUGUAUGAAGAAGGCCUUCGGGUUGUAAAGUACUUUCAGCGGGGAGGCGUUACCCGCAGAAGAAGCACCGGCUAACUCCGUGCCAGCAGCCGCGGUAAUAC